CAGCCCUAAUUAUAUUACAAGGGCCAUUGUCUACCACUACACUACCUCCACCCCAAGAAAUUUGCAACCAAAAUUAUAACCAAGUAAAUUAGAGAAAGUGGUUGACAGAAAUAAAAUUAAGAUGUAAAAUUUCACUAAAUCUGACAAAGAAAUGUUAAGAAAAUGAAUUUUUCAGUUGAACUUUCCAUUGCUGCCCUCACUGAAAGAUGAAUGGCCAGCGCAGGUGUAGAACCACAGCACUGACUCCAACUACAUAGCCCACAAAUCCAUUGAAGAACAUUUUUGUUACCACUUUUGCCAUCAAUUAACUGGUUUUGAAUGAAAGCUUCAAAAAAAGGCCUCAGUUGUCAUGUGAGUGAUUUAAACCAAGAGUACAUACCCAAGUAGAUGGAGGCAACCAGUCCAAGAAGUCCAAACAGCAGGGUCUUCAUCUUCUCGCUUGGGUUUUCUGGCGAUCAAGAAGUGA